GGAUUAGAUACCCUGGUAGUCCACGCUGUAAACGAUGUCAACUAGUCGUCGGGGGGAUUUUAACCCUUUGGUGACGUAGCUAACGCACUAAGUUGACCGCCUGGGGAGUACGGCCGCAAGGUUAAAACUCAAAUGAAUUGACGGGGGCCCGCACAAGCGGUGGAGCAUGUGGUUUAAUUCGAUGCAACGCGAAGAACCUUACCUGCCCUUGACAUCCUGAGAACUUGGCAGAGAUGCCUUGGUGCCUUCGGGAACUCAGUGACAGGUGCUGCAUGGCUGUCGUCAGCUCGUGUCG
rnacentral:rRNA from 1 species